rnacentral:rRNA from 1 species
CAGCAGCCACGGGAAUACGUAGGUGGUAAGCGUUGUCCGGAAUUAUUGGGCGUAAAGGGCUCGCAGGCGGUUUCUUAAGUCUGAUGUGAAAGCCCCCGGCUCAACCGGGGAGGGUCAUUGGAAACUGGGAAACUUAAGUGCAGAAGAGGAGAGUGGAAUUCCACGUGUAGCGGUGAAAUGCGUAGAGAUGUGGAGGAACACCAGUGGCGAAGGCGACUCUCUGGACUGUAACUGACGCUGAGGAGCGAAAGCGUGGGGAGCGAACAGGAUUAGAUACCCCGGUAGUCCCUGUCUCUUAUAC